UAAAGCUAAAAUACAAAAUAACAUGGACCUUGGUUUUGUCUCAGAGUGAACAAUUAUCAAAUCUGUGAAGUUCAUUUUUUCAAAUAAUUUUAAUGACAACCUCAUGAAAUAUGGAGGGCAGGUGUCAGUUUCCCACACCACACUGGUGUAGUGUAAGAGUUAAUGAGUCAGGCAUAGAGGCGCAUGCCUGUAAUUCCAGCACUCAGGAGGCUGAGGCAGGAGGAGUGCUGCCAGUUCAAGGCCACCCUGGGUUACAUAGGGAGUCACUGUUGCAAAAAAAAAAAAAGUUAAUGACCUGCCAUACAAAGAUGGAAAGUUGCUCUGUCAAGUCUUACACUCAGGUCUCUAUGUUCCAGAGUUACUAUUCUUUUUCUUGUAUCAAAAACUGACUUGACUCUUUUUCCUUUACACUCAUUUGCUUAACUGUCAAUCAAGGUAAACCUUCCUGUACACUGUACUUUUAAAUUUUAUUUAUUUUUUUUCCCCAGUACUGGGGAUCGAAUUUAGGACCUUGUGCUUUCAAGGCAGGUGGCAGCACCAUAGAGCUAAAUCCCCGGCCCCUUUUAUUUUUUAUUUUGAGAGUUUUGUUAAGUUGCCAAGCCUGAGCUCAAACUUGGAAUCCUCGUGCCUCAGCCUCCCAGGUGUGCACCCCCAGGGCUGACUGGUCUUACAAGUGGCAGUGAUAUUUCCCUUUCACUGCCUGUGAGAGAAGUGAUUCCCACACCUGGAGCACACUGACGUUCCCUGACAACCACAGAGGCUGACCUCCUGUACCCCCGAGGUCUGAGGAACUGGUCUGGGUGUGGCUGAGGCUUUGGGAGUUUUACAAGUGUCCCAGAAGAUUGCAGCAGGUACCCAGGCCUGCCGACCAGGCCAGUGCCCUACUGAUUGUGGAAGCAGGAAUUGCUAAGGAGAGGUGUCCAGGGAAUCGGGACUCAUCGGGACCCAUCUGCUCACUGAUGUUGACUGAAGCCAGGGGAAGGGACAACCUUGCUUUAAGGGACUCUGCCAAGGACACUAAGAUGGUUUCAGGACGGCUUGAGAUAGAAAGACUGACAGGAGCGGGAAGGGUUGGUGCCGGCCGGGAGUCCUGCUGGUCUUUGGCCUUCAGCCUCCGACCUUUGCACCCUGCUGGACCCUCCCUUGUGUGCUCAUUGCCCUGCCGUCCACUUUGCCAUGGCCACUGCAGUGCUCGGUACAGGACUCAGCUCAGAGUCCUCAGAGUCCUCUGUAAAAGUGAAAUGGCAGAGCAAGAACAAGCGGCAGUGGCCCAUAGACUGUGCACUCGUGCCUGGCGUUAGGAGGACCAUCUCCUGCCAUAGGAAAUUGGAAAUUUCCUUAUCUUCUGAUCUUCCAGCUGAGGACAUGGGGCUCUGAGGGCUCCAGGCCUUGCCCGGUCACGCAGCCGGGUGAGAUUGAUGACUCGGGAGCAAACUGUUGAAACAACUAACUCACCGUGAACCUGAAAAGACUUCCUUUCCUGGUGUCUCCAAUCUUCCUCUGCCACUCUGCCCUUCCCUUUUAGAGGAGUGUAAAACACAGUAAAAAAGAAGAACGAUCUAAUAAGUUUCAGAGAGAAGCCC
ensembl:lncRNA